rnacentral:rRNA from 1 species
CAGUCGCCACGGGAAUACGAAGGGGGCUAGCGUUGCUCGGAAUGACUGGGCGUAAAGGGCGCGUAGGCGGCGGCCAAAGUCAGGCGUGAAAUUCCCGGGCUCAACCUGGGGGCUGCGUUUGAUACUUGGUUGCUUGAGUGGGGAAGAGGGUCGUGGAAUUCCCAGUGUAGAGGUGAAAUUCGUAGAUAUUGGGAAGAACACCGGUGGCGAAGGCGGCGACCUGGUCCUUUACUGACGCUGAGGCGCGAAAGCGUGUGGAGCAAACAGGAUUAGAGACCCGCGUAGUCCCUGUCUCUUAUAC